rnacentral:lncRNA from 1 species
AGUAGUUUUACUUGGGGAAUAAAAUAAAUUUAAACUUGAGGCAUCCAUCUAUCUAAACAAAAUAUAGAUAACGGCGAAUCCAUACAUAAUUUAGGUGAUGAUAAUACAUUAUCCUCAAAUACGUGAUUACAAGUGAACUUGAGACAUCCAUCUAUCAAGUAGUUUUACGGCGAAUCCAUACAUAAUUUAGGUGAUGAUAAUACAUUAUCCUCAAAUACAUGAUUACAAGUGAUUACAUUACAAUCAACCACAACUUGUACAGGAAGUUGAGGAAGUUACAACAGAGCAAUGUUGUUGUUGUCUUUCAUUUUUCUGAUGGCUAUGCUACUG